GAACGUUCCCGACUGCUCUCUGUCCUUUUAACGUGGAACGUUCCGUUUGUCCUUUUAACGUGGAACGUUCCCGACUGAUCUCUGUCCUUUUAACGUGGAACGUUCCCGACUGAUCUCUGUCCUUUUAACGUGGAACGUUCCGACUGCUCUCUGUCCUUUUAACGUGGAACGUCCCGACUGAUCUCUGUCCUUUUAACGUGGAACGUCCCGACUGCUCUCUGUCCUUGGAACGUUCCACGUUAAGACACGUUAAAUUGUGUUACAGUAAAGUCUUUAUUAAACUCCUUCCUGCUCCUAAACUACAGAGGAUAUUGGGUCAGACCCCCUCUCUCUCUCAAGCAUGAUGCCUCUCCCAAUAAGUGUUUUGUAAUUUUAUAAAAUACCAGAUUAGUUUAAUCUCCACUGUAAUUUGUAUUUUAUUUCAUGUGUAAAGGUCUAACAUGUCCUGUUCAGGAACUACAUUAGGAGUAGAUUAGGAGUUACUACAUUAGGAGUAGAUUAGGAGUUACUACAUUAGGAGUAGACUACAUUAGGAGUAGACUACAUUAGAGUAGACUACAUUAGGAGUAGAUUACAUUAGGAGUAGAUUAGGAGUAGACUACAUUAGGAGUAGAUUAGGAGUUACUACAUUAGGAGUAGAUUAGGAGUUACUACAUUAGGAGUAGACUACAUUAGGAGUAGAUUACAUUAGGAGUAGAUUACAUUAGGAGUAGAUUAGGAGUAGACUACAUUAGGAGUAGAUUAGGAGUUACUACAUUAGGAGUAGACUACAUUAGGAGUAGACUACAUUAGGAGUAGACUACAUUAGGAGUAGAUUACAUUAGGAGUAGAUUACAUUAGGAGUAGAUUACAUUAGGAGUAGACUACAUUAGAGUAGAUUACAUUAGGAGUAGAUUAGGAGUAGACUACAUUAGAGUAGAUUAGGAGUUACUACAUUAGGAGUAGAUUAGGAGUUACUACAUUAGGAGUAGACUACAUUAGGAGUAGACUACAUUAGGAGUAGAUUACAUUAGGAGUAGAUUACAUUAGGAGUAGAUUAGGAGUAGACUACAUUAGGAGUAGAUUAGGAGUUACUACAUUAGGAGUAGACUACAUUAGGAGUAGAUUACAUUAGGAGUAGAUUACAUUAGGAGUAGAUUGUAAACCACCUAUGCCUGUUUGUUUUUUUAAAAUUAAGAAUUGAUUAAUUUACCUAAUAAUUCACUGUUGGAUAAUAUUCCUAAUUCAUUAUUUAACGGUAGCUAGUAGUAAUUGAUUAUUUAACGGUAGCUAGUAGUAACUGAUUAUUUAACGGUAGCUAGUAGUAACUGAUUAUUUAACGGUAGCUAGUAGUAACUGAUUAUUUAACGGUAGCUAGUAGUAACUGAUUAUUUAAGGCUGCCAGGGUCUCUCUGACCCACACAGACACGGGUGAUCAACUCAUAACGCUGCCCGGGGUCACUCUGACCCACACAGACACGGG
ensembl:lncRNA